GAUGUACGCUGGCGGCGUGCCUAAUACAUGCAAGUCGAGCGAACAGACGAGGAGCUUGCUCCUCUGACGUUAGCGGCGGACGGGUGAGUAACACGUGGAUAACCUACCUAUAAGACUGGGAUAACUUCGGGAAACCGGAGCUAAUACCGGAUAACAUGUUGAACCGCAUGGUUCAACAGUGAAAGACGGUUUUGCUGUCACUUAUAGAUGGAUCCGCGUCGCAUUAGCUAGUUGGUAAGGUAACGGCUUACCAAGGCAACGAUGCGUAGCCGACCUGAGAGGGUGAUCGGCCACACUGGAACUGAGACACGGUCCAGACUCCUACGGGAGGCAGCAGUAGGGAAUCUUCCGCAAUGGGCGAAAGCCUGACGGAGCAACGCCGCGUGAGUGAAGAAGGUCUUCGGAUCGUAAAACUCUGUUAUUAGGGAAGAACAAAUGUGUAAGUAACUAUGCACGUCUUGACGGUACCUAAUCAGAAAGCCACGGCUAACUACGUG
rnacentral:rRNA from 1 species